rnacentral:rRNA from 1 species
GACGAACCGUGCGAACGUUGUUCGGAAUCACUGGGCGUAAAGCGCGCGUAGGCGGCUACUUAAGUCGGAUGUGAAAGCCCUUGGCUCAACUGAGGAAGUGCACCCGAAACUGAGUGGCUAGAGUACGAAAGAGGGUCGCGGAAUUCCCGGUGUAGAGGUGAAAUUCGUAGAUAUCGGGAGGAACACCGGUGGCGAAGGCGGCGACCUGGGUCGAUACUGACGCUGAUGCGCGAAAGCGUGGGGAGCAAACAGG